GGAACUUGAAUCCACUGUGGGGUUAGUCUCAUCGUCAACUGUGACUCAUGAUGUUCCUGAUUCAACAUUGGCUGACAAGAAGGUUUUAAAAAUUGACUCAGUGGAGCCCGUUGAAAAGACUGUUGGACUGGAUGGCGACUUACCUUCUGAGAAGGAUGAUUAUGAGGUUGAUAACUGGGAGGCUGAAGAGUCACUGAAAGAGAUCUCUGGGACUAUACCAUCGUCAACAUCUGAGGGUCCUGGAUCUUUUAGAAGUAUUGGUGGGAAAAGUGAAGAAGGAGGGAACGGUACUGGUAGUCUUUCAAGGUUAGCUGGACUUGGGCGUGCUGCAAGGCGCCAACUUACGGCAAUUCUUGAUGAAUUUUGGGGACAGU
rnacentral:misc_RNA from 1 species